AAAGGGAGACCUAAUUCAGGUAAAAGACGAAAAAAAAGUAGUCGCUACCAAGAAUCAAUCCCAAAAGGUCGGAGCGAGGCGAAAUUGGCUUUCAAACUAGGUUCUGGGUUCAAACAAGACCUGAAUCAGGAACAAGGGCUAUUAGCUCAGGUGGUUAGAGCGCACCCCUGAUAAGGGUGAGGUCCCUGGUUCGAGUCCAGGAUGGCCCACCUGCACAGGUGGCAAAAACAAGAGAAGCGAGGAAUCAGCACCUUAUCUUACUGACAUAGUAAGAGAGAAUGCUGGCUCUGAGUAAAGAGUCCAGAGGAACCUUGAAAACUGCAUAGAGCUAGGUGAAAAAGCCAAGAAAGAAGACCGCAAG
rnacentral:tRNA from 1 species